UAUGCUUGAAAAACUGAAACAUAUGCAAACCUAGAAUGCCUUUUGCUGUAGCAAGAAAUGUGCCGUCACGUUGCUACCUUGCUCAAGUUUUGAUAUAAUUUUUCUUCAGUCCUUUAUCUUCAUGAUUGAGCAUGGGUCUUUGCAACACUAAGAGUUUACUAACCAAUGUUCGAAACAAGGGGUUAGGAAAGAAAUUAAACUAAAUUGCAUUGUUUUCAAAACAAAUGCAUCAUGAUUUUCAAAUUUUCCUUAUCAAUUG
rnacentral:lncRNA from 1 species